GUAGCUGUAGCUCAGCUGGUAGAGCGCAUUCUUGGUGCAGGCCGUUGCCGGUUCGAAACCGGCCAGCUACC
rnacentral:tRNA from 1 species